rnacentral:rRNA from 1 species
AAACUUUACAAUGCGGGAAACCGUGAUAAGGGAACCCCGAGUGCCCGUUAAAUCGGGCUGUUCAUCUGUGUAAAAAACAGGUGGAGAAAGGGCCGGGCAAGACCGGUGCCAGCCGCCGCGGUAAUACCGGCGGCUCGAGUGGUGGCCACUAUUACUGGGCUUAAAGCGUCCGUAGCUGGAUUGUUAAGUCUCCUGGGAAAUCUAUCGGCUUAACCGAUAGGCGUUCAGGAGAUACUGGCAAUCUAGGGACCGGAAGAGGUGAGAGGUACUCCAGGGGUAGGAGUGAAAUCCUGUAAUCCUUGGGGGACCACCUGUGGCGAAGGCGUCUCACUAGAACGGCUCCGACAGUGAGGGACGAAAGCUGGGGGAGCAAACCGG